ACGCUUUCUUUUGUCUUCCUUUUCUUUCUUUGCUGCCGCCGAAAGCUCCAGAUGUCUUUCCUUUCUUUCUUUUCAGCAGAAGCUUUUCAAUGGGUAAGAGGAGAUCCAGCAAAUGCAUGCAUCCAAAAUCAACGGGUGUUGCUCCUAAUCAAAUAAACGAUUUCAUCUUUUACAGCAAAAACAUUACAAUACAUCAGGUUUCUUAAUGUUGAGAGCGUAGCAGAUGUGCGUGAAACAUUACUUCUACAACAAAAAAUCUAUAAAAGUCAAGAUGUGGAGAAAUAUGACUUCAACAAAAUUUAUCAAAUUUAUCGACAAUAAUACUCUGUUGAGUGAAGAAACAUAAUAGUUGUCGACCAUACUUUCCAAAUAAGCAUGUGAUGUUAGAAGAUUUUUCUCACUGUGAAGUAUGUUGUUGUAUCAUCAUCAAGGAAAAAUGGAUCUCCCACUACAUAAAUUCCUGGAUAUCACCUUCAAUUCUGAAAGUCAAGAACUACUUCAAUCUAUUGUAAAUAUUGAGUGAUAUAUAUUAUGACUUUUAUGUAUUUUUUUCUUAAAUUUGUUUUCUCUUCAAUUUCUCUCUUUAUAUAUAAUUAUUUCUUUCAAA